GUGCUCGCUUCGGCAGCACACAUACUAAAAUUGGAACGAU
rnacentral:snRNA from 1 species